rnacentral:tRNA from 1 species
GCCGUCAUAGCUCAGUUGGUAGAGCGCAUCCAUGGUAAGGAUGAGGUCACCAGUUCAAACCUGGUUGACGGCUCCA